rnacentral:rRNA from 1 species
GUGAUAGCUGGUUGUUCAGGAAAAGAGUCUUAGCUCUACCUUAAAUUUUUUUAUUGCAUCAAACAAAGCACUAAAUUUAAGAGCUAUUCAAAUAAGGCACAGCUUAUUUGAAACGGGGUACAACCCCUAAUACUGGGUUAGUCUAGAUAUAUUAAACAAAGUGGGCCUAAAAGCAGCCAUCUUCCAAAAAGCGUUAAAGCUUAACAUAUUACUAUCUACAAUACCACAAUUUUUACUUAACCCUUUAUCACUACUGAACUAUUUUAUACCCCUAUAAAAGUCAUUAUGCUAGAACUAGUAACAAGAAAUUGCCCUUCUCCAAAAUGUAUGUUUAAACCAAAAUGGACCCUCCACUGGUAGUUAACGUAAAUGUAAAAAUCAUAGUACCCCUAACUAGAAAACCCUAUGACUCCCCAACGUCAACCUUACACUAGAACAUUACAGGAAAGAUUAAAAGAGAAAGAAGGAACUCGGCAAACCACAGUCCCGCCUGUUUACCAAAAACACCGCCUCUUGCCCAAAUAUAAGAGGUCCAGCCUGCCCAGUGACAUAGUUUAACGGCCGCGGUACCCUAACCGUGCGAAGGUAGCAUAAUCACUUGUUCUUUAAAUAAGGACUCGUAUCAACGGCAUCACGAGGGCUGUACUGUCUCCUUUCUCCAAUCAGUGAAACUGAUCUCCCCGUGAAGAAGCGGGGAUUGACCUAUAAGACGAGAAGACCCCAUGGAGCUUUAAACCCAACACACACCUCUACGCACCCAAACCAAUAUAGCCCAAGAGACUUGUGUGUUGGUUUUAGGUUGGGGGGACCGCGGAGUAAAAUCAAACCUCCAUGACAGACGGGCUAACACCCUUAUCCAUGAACCACAAUUCUAAGAGCCAAUAAAUUGUUGUCUAAUGACCCAAUUACUUGAUCAACGAACCAAGUUACCCUGGGGAUAACAGCGCAAUCUACUUCAAGAGCCCCUAUCGACAAGUAGGUUUACGACCUCGAUGUUGGAUCAGGGUAUCCUAGUGGUGCAGCCGCUACUAAAGGUUCGUUUGUUCAACGAUUAAAACCCUACGUGAUCUGA